ensembl:lncRNA
CCCUAUAGAACCCCCUAUAACCCCAUAACCCCCCCUAAAACCCCAUAAGACCCCAUAGGACCCCAUAGAAUCCCAUAGAACCCCAUAGGACCCCAUAGAACCCCAUAGGACCCCAUAGGUGCGGUGGGGGCGGGGCGGCCGCUCACCUUUGUCCCUUCGGGGUGGGGUUGGGGUGGGUGACCCCAUAGAACCCCAUAGAACCCCCUAAAAUCCCCUAAAACCCCAUAGAACCCCAUAACCCCCCCUAAGACCCCAUAACCCCCCUAAAACCCCAUAUAAAACCCCAUAGGACCCCAUAAGUGCGGUGGGGGCGGGGCGGCCGCUCACCUUUGUCCCUUUGGGGUGGGG